UACAGAGGGUGCAAGCGUUAAUCGGAAUUACUGGGCGUAAAGCGUGCGUAGACGGUUACAUAAGUCAGAUGUGAAAGCCCCGGGCUCAACCUGGGAAUUGCAUUUGAGACUGUGUAGCUAGGGUGCGGAAGAGGGAAGCGGAAUUUCCGGUGUAGCGGUGAAAUGCGUAGAUAUCGGAAGGAACACCAGUGGCGAAAGCGGCUUCCUGGUCCAGCACCGACAUUCAGGCACGAAAGCGUGGGGAGCAAACAGG
rnacentral:rRNA from 1 species